rnacentral:lncRNA from 1 species
CUCCCCGGGAAGGAGUGGGUCUGGGUCCAGUCCGCAGGACCCCCUCGCGGAUGCUGACGCAGAAUGGAGUUGAGGUGGGGGCAGCGCUGGACCCUAGGGCCCCUGCCUGCCUCCUGGGGAGCCCGGUGACCCAGGCAGCCCUGGUGAGGCCGCAGGAGUCUGGGCCCUAGCGACGCCCCCGGGCUCCCACAGGACGAAUGUAGACGGUGAGGCCAAGGACGCCCUGCUGCCCUCGGGACUGUCCCUCCAGCCCCCAGCUUUCCGUGGUUAUUGGGCCCCCUCUGCAGAGGGGCAGGGGAGCCCACCCUGGAUCCUGAGGCGCCGAGCUUGAGGGACCCCAGAGCUCCAGCCAGGCCGCUUUCUUUGCGGAUGGUGAAGCUGAGGUCCCGAGGAGGGCAGGGGCAGGUCCCGGGCGCUCCUCAGGCAAAGGGAGCCGAUUUAGGGGCUGGGGUCACAGGAGGCGCUUCUGCGACCUCUAGGGCCCUAGAGCCCGGGAGGAUGAGAGACUGGGGGCCUUUCGUCCACCCCUGGGGCUGGGCAGACGCUCAGCCUGUGCAACCCGAAGCUGCUUCUGCCCAGUCCCAGCCGCGGCCCCUUUAAGAGGGGGUGGUGCUUCAGCCUGGCGCCAGGGACGCUGCCAGCAUGCAGGCCCCGACGGAAGCCGAGACUGCGCUUCGUGCGAGGCCCGGGCAGCAUCGGCGGCGUGGUCAGAGCGAGUCUCGGAGAAGAUGUGGUGGCUUCCGUUUGUUGGUGGAGGAGGUGGCAGGCCUCGGCGGGUAACCCAGAGAACACAGCCGAAGUGGAAUGUGGGGACGUCUGCGACACCGGGGACAGAGCAACUGUGGAUGAAGAGGGCUACAUCUGGUUCCUGGGGAGGAGUCAUGACACUAUCAAUGCCUCUGGGUGGUGAAGGCAUUGAUUGUCCUGACCCCACAGUUUCUGUCCCAUGACAAGGACCAGCUGACUAAGGAGCUGCAGCAGCAUGUAAAGUCAGUGACAGCCCCAUGAAACCUCCUCGACACUCCGAAGUCCAGAUCGCAGGCCCCACCUGGAAUGCUCUCCUUGCAGCCUGUUCGAAGACUCAUGAGACCGUGCUGCACACUGGACUUCAACCAUGAGCUUCACCGUCUGUCUCUUCCUUCACUACCUUCGCUCUGCACUAGGCCAUAAGCUCUGUAGGAGAAGGAACUCAUCACAGUGCCUGCCCCAGACAGGUUGUUCAUAAGCACGUAUUGAAAUAUAGAAUUCCCAGGCACCUCCAACAGAGAGACUGGACCUUGUGAGACCCAACAAGAAGCCAGUAUUUCAGAACUGAUGAAAAAUAGCAAGGAUCUAGAUUAGGGGGUAUAGUGGGAAUGAAAUGGGGGACUGGGUGAUGCCCCAUAUUUGUCAACGACUCAUAGUCUUUCUCCAGAGAUGUCUUCCUCCCCUGUGUUCUUUGUCUCAUCAGCUGCCACCAGCACUCACUCCAGCCACUAAAGCCAGAAAGUUGAAAGACCUCUGCCCUCAUCCGGCCCAGCCCCCAUCCAGCCAAAGACCUGUCAUUUCAACCUCACGCCCACCCCGCUUUCCACUCCCACUGCUCCUGCCUUAGUUCAGACCACCACCGUCGCUCUCCUACCCAGUUCAAGCCAAGCUGACCUGGCCAGUGGCCUUCAGGCCUUCCCUUCUCCAUCCUGCCAUGUCCAUCCUCCACAGGCAGAACAGGAAGCUGUCAUGUAAAAGUGCAGGUCUGCUUUGGUCCUUCUCCUAAACCCUUCAGUGGCUUCCCGGUUCCCUUUGGGUCCUGGUACAGAUUCCUUAGCAUGGCCAGGGAGGACAGCCCUCCAUGAUCCUCCCCUCCCUGAGAUGUUCCUCCUGCCCCAGCACCCUGUGUUUGAGCCCAAGCCCGCCCUGUGGUGUCACGGGAGGCCCAGCUCCUCUGCCUGGGGUGCCUUGCCUGGCCUAGGAACUGGGAAAACUUACCUGCUUCCAAGACUCAGCUCUAGCACCUCUUCCUGCUGGGUGUUUUCCGAUGCCCCCCCUCUCGCCACCUCAUGGGGACCCCACAGUCCCCUGAAGAGCCUUCUGCCCCAGUGCCUCACCCCACUCUUUAGACCUGUUUCUGUUUCCAUGGCUGCCUUGCCUUCUUAGACCACGGGCUCCUGCAGAGCGGGACCCCAUAUCUCAGUCGGCUUUGCAUUCCCAGUGCCUGGCCGAAACUGAGGCUGGAAUGGUCUCCUAUUCCAUAAGCUCUCAAUAACCCUUGAAAAAUGACUGGAAUCCUGGACAGCGCCAAGGCAGCAACUGGGAUGGGAGAGUGAUCUGCUGCCCUCUCCUGGCAAUGUGAGGAAUUGUCCUAAGCACAGACAACUCCCUCCCUGCCUUGCACAAGUGCAGGAUGGGGGAAACUGGAAAAGGAGCUGAUGGAGGAUUGGGGAGGUGGAUGCUGUCUAAGGAGACAAACUGAAUUGAGGGGUUGCUGGGACUCGGCCGGCUCACAUGCUAUUCCCAUGUCAUGGGCCCAGGGGCCAAGUCAGUGCUUCCAAAGGAGGGUGCAUCCUGAGAGAGGCUCUGGCUCCCCCAACAAAACCCUAAACUCUUGAAGGACAUCUUCCUUCUCAGUAUACCCUAUUGCUGUGUUGUUGUAACUAUCACUGUAACUUUUAUUCACUUCAGUGGGCGAUCACUGAGUUUUUCCUCCAUUGUUGUAAAACAUGUGUUUUGCUCUUGUGUGUAAAAUGACUGUGAAUUUAGCCACUGCCUUCUCCUGAUUUUAACUCAGCUUUCUACUGCUAGGAGGUUAUCUCUGUUCUGGGUUUCUCAGCUUUCUAUCAAAACCCAAAUACUGUCAUUCCUCGGUAUCCGUAGGGGAUUGGUUCCAGGAACCUCCCUUGAAGAUACCAACAUUGCAGGUGCCCAAGCCCCUGAUAGAGAACAGCGCAGCAUUUGCAGACAACCUAUGUACACACUGCAUGCACUUUCAAUCAGCUCUAGAUUACUUCUGAUACCUAAUUCAAUGUAAAUGCUGUGUCAGUAGUUGUCUAGGGAAUAAUGACAAGAAGAAAAUUUUGUACAUGUUCAGUACGUAGGAAAAAGAAAGAGAGAUCAGACUGUCACUGUGUCUAUGUAGAAAGGGAAGACAUAAGAGAUUCCAUUUUGAAAAAGACCUGUACUUUAAACAGUUGCUUUGCUGAGAUGUUGUUAAUUUGUAGCUUUGCCCCAGCCACUUUGCCUUAGCCACUUUGACCCAACCUGGAGCUCACAAAAAUAUGUGUUGUAUAAAAUCAAGGUUUAAGGGAUCUAGGGCUGUGCAGGAUAUGCCUUGUUAACAAAAUGUUUACAAGCAGUAUACUUGGUAAAGGUCAUCGCCAUUCUCUAGUCUCAAUAAAACAGGAGCACAGUGCACUGCGGAAAGCCGCAGGGACCUCUGCCCUUGAAAGUGGGGUAUUGUCCAAGGUUUCUCCCCAUGUGAUAGUCUGAAAUAUGGCCUCGUGGGAUGAGAAAGACCUGACUGUGCCCCAGCCCGACACCCAUAAAGGGUCUGUGCUGAGGUGGAUUAGUAAAAGAGGAAAGCCUCUUGCAGUUGAGAUAGAGGAAGGCCACUGUCUCCUGCCUGCCCCUGGGAACUGAAUGUCUCGGUAUAAAACCCGAUUGUACAUUUGUUCAAUUCUGAGAUAGGAGAAAAACCGCCCUAUGGUGGGAGGCGAGACAUGUUUGCAGCAAUGCUGCCUUGUUAUUCUUUACUCCGCUGAGAUGUUUGGGUGGAGAGAAACAUAAAUCUGGCCUACAUGCACAUCCGGGCAUAGUACCUUCCCUUGAACUUAAUCAUGACACAGAUUCUUUUGCUCACAUGUUUUUUGCUGACCUUCUCCUUAUUAUCACCCUGCUGUCCUACUACAUUCCUUUUUGCUGAAAUAAUGAAAAUAAUAGUCAAUAAAAACUGAGGGAACUCAAAGGCCGGUGCCAGUGCAGGUCCUUGGUGUGCUGAAUACUGGUCCCCUGGACCCACUGUUGUUUCUCUAAAAAAAAAAAAAAAAAAAAAAAAAAAAAAAAAAAAAAAAAAAAAAAAAA